rnacentral:rRNA from 1 species
AUACGGAGGAUGCGAGCGUUAUCCGGAUUUAUUGGGUUUAAAGGGAGCGUAGGUGGGAUAUUAAGUCAGCUGUGAAAGUUUGGGGCUCGACCUUAAAAUUGCAGUUGAUACUGGUUUCCUUGAGUACGGUAUAGGUGGGCGGAAUUCGUGGUGUAGCGGUGAAAUGCUUAGAUAUCACGAAGAACUCCGAUCGCGAAGGCAGCUCACCGGGCCGGAACUGACACUGAUGCUCGAAAGUGCGGGUAUCAAACAGGAUUAGAUACCCUGGUAGUCCGCACAGUAAACGAUGAAUACUCGCUGUUUGCGAUACACUGUAAGCGGCCAAGCGAAAGCGUUAAGUAUUCCACCUGGGGAGUACGCCGGCAACGGUGAAACUCAAAGGAAUUGACGGGG